UACAGAGGGUGCGAGCGUUAAUCGGAAUUACUGGGCGUAAAGCGUGCGUAGGUGGUUUGAUAAGUCGGAUGUGAAAGCCCUGGGCUUAACCUGGGAACGGCAUACGAAACUGUCGGACUCGAGUCGUGUAGAGGGAAGUGGAAUUUCCGGUGUAGCGGUGAAAUGCGUAGAUAUCGGAAGGAACAUCAGUGGCGAAAGCGGCUUCCUGGACCAGUACCGACGUUCAGGCACGAAAGCGUGGGGAGCAAACAGG
rnacentral:rRNA from 1 species